UGGGAACGCGAAGAACCUUACCUCGGCCUUGACAUCUGUCGAAUCCUGCAGAGAUGGCGGGAGUGCCGCAAGGAACGACAAGACAGGUGCUGCAUGGCUGUCGUCAGCUCGUGUCGUGAGAUGUUGGGUUAAGUCCCGCAACGAGCGCAACCCUUGUCCUUAGUUGCCAGCACGUAAUGGUGGGAACUCUAAGGAGACUGCCGGUGACAAACCGGAGGAAGGUGGGGAUGACGUCAAGUCCUCAUGGCCCUUACGGCCAGGGCUACACACGUACUACAAUGGUCGGUACAGAGGGUUGCGAAGCCGCGAGGUGGAGCCAAUCCCAGAAAGCCGAUCCCAGUCCGGAUUGGAGUCUGCAACUCGACUCCAUGAAGUUGGAAUCGCUAGUAAUCGCGAAUCAGCUAUGUCGCGGUGAAUUACGUUCCCGGGUCUUGUAC
rnacentral:rRNA from 1 species